rnacentral:misc_RNA from 1 species
AACGCACAUUGCGCCCUUUGGUAUUCCGAAGGGCAUGCCUGUUCGAGCGUCAUUUAAACUCUCAAGCUCCGCUUGGUAUUGAAUCGGAUCUUGAUUGAUCGAUUCGUAACUCCUUUGGCAUGACAGUCCAGCUUCAAGCGUAGCAAGUUCCUCGCUUAGUGGUUUUACUGCCGUCGCCAGUUUAAUUUUUACUUCUUUCAAGUUUGACCUCGGAUCAGGUAGGGAUACCCGCUGAACUUAA